CCUACCCCACAGGAGGGGCAAGAGGCUUUAAGAGUCCUUGAUAAUUACACAAAAAUAUUAUUAAAGUAAAAAUAAGUUGCAAGCAUGUUUUCCUUCUUGAUUUCUGGCAGGGCACAGAUGGAGGGGGAGGUGCAGGAGGCUCCCUUAGGCUGCAGCCCUGGCUUCCGGAUGGACGCCUGGUUCACUGGCAGCAGCACCCUAGGAACUGGAAACCGGCAUGGGGGUCAGUCUGCACGUGGAGGUGGGAGUGAAGCUGAUCUGCUUGAGUGGGAACAAGAAUCUGAGGAGUAUCUGUCAUUGCCUUUAAGAGAAGGAAAGCUGUUGUGCGCCUGA
rnacentral:lncRNA from 1 species